rnacentral:rRNA from 1 species
CUUGGUCAUUUAGAGGAAGUAAAAGUCGUAACAAGGUUUCCGUAGGUGAACCUGCGGAAGGAUCAUUACUGAUUUGGCAAACCGAGCGUUAGCAAGGUUUUGCGAUCAAACUUAUAUUUAAAACCCCACUCUUUAAAAUGUAUAUAUUUUUUAUUUUGAAUGAUAAAAUUAAAAGAUCACUUUCAACAACGGAUCUCUUGGCUCUCGCAUCGAUGAAGAACGUAGCGAAGUGCGAUAAGUAAUGUGAAUUGCAGAAUUCCGUGAAUCAUCGAAUCUUUGAACGCAUAUUGCACUCUCUGGUAUUCCGGAGAGUAUGCCUGUUUGAGGGUCUGUUAAAUAAAAAUCGGGGUUGUUGCUGCUUUUUGUGGUGACGCUUCGGAAUUGGGUAGUCUUACCUUAGGGUUUAAGUGACCUAAAAUUUUACAUGAUUUUUCGAACGUAUUUAAAUCUUUUACGUACGUUUGGUUAUAUCGAAUAUAUUAGGUGAGGUCAUCCUCAUGAUUCACGUCUAUAAUUUUUUUCAUUUUUAGACCUCAAAUCAGGUAAGAACACCCGCUGAACUUAAGCAUAUCAAUAAGCGGAGGAAA